CCGCUUGGGCUUCUCUUCAUCACGUACAAAGCUUUCGCCUUUUACUAAAGAUUUCCAUGGAGGGGGACGUCAACAAGCUCUGUUUU
ensembl:snRNA U5 U5 spliceosomal RNA